rnacentral:rRNA from 1 species
AUUGAACGCUGGCGGCAUGCCUUACACAUGCAAGUCGAACGGCAGCGGACCUUCGGGUGCCGGCGAGUGGCGAACGGGUGAGUAAAGUAUCGGAACGUACCUUUCAGUGGGGGAUAACGUAGCGAAAGUUACGCUAAUACCGCAUAUUCUGUGAGCAGGAAAGCAGGGGAUCGCAAGACCUUGCGCUGAUUGAGCGGCCGAUAUCAGAUUAGCUAGUUGGUGAGGUAAAGGCUCACCAAGGCGACGAUCUGUAGCGGGUCUGAGAGGAUGAUCCGCCACACUGGAACUGAGACACGGUCCAGACUCCUACGGGAGGCAGCAGUGGAGAAUUUUGGACAAUGGGGGCAACCCUGAUCCAGCCAUGCCGCGUGAGUGAAGAAGGCCUUCGGGUUGUAAAGCUCUUUCGGCCGGGAAGAAAUCGCUUAGGUUAAUACCCUGAGUGGACGACGGUACCGGAAUAAGAAGCACCGGCUAACUACGUGCCAGCAGCCGCCGUAACAC